UUCGAUGCAACGCGAAGAACCUUACCUGGUCUUGACAUCCCGGAGACCCUUAGGAACUAGGGGUGCUUCCAUCUGGAGAAUCUGGAGACAGGUGCUGCAUGGCUGUCGUCAGCUCGUGUCGUGAGAUGUUGGGUUAAGUCCCGCAACGAGCGCAACCCUUGCCUUUAGUUGCCAGCAGUUCGGCUGGGCACUCUAAAGGGACUGCCGGUGUUAAACCGGAGGAAGGUGGGGAUGACGUCAAGUCCUCAUGGCCUUUAUGACCAGGGCUACACACGUACUACAAUGGCCGAUACAAAGGGCAGCGACACUGCGAGGUGAAGCCAAUCCCGUAAAAUCGGUCUCAGUCCGGAUUGGAGUCUGCAACUCGACUCCAUGAAGUUGGAAUCGCUAGUAAUCGUGGAUCAGCAUGCCACGGUGAAUACGUUCCCGGGCCUG
rnacentral:rRNA from 1 species